UACGUAGGGGGCUAGCGUUGUCCGGAAUCAUUGGGCGUAAAGCGCGCGUAGGCGGCCCGGUAAGUCCGUUGUGAAAGUCAAAGGCUCAACCUUUGAAAGCCGAUGGAUACUGCCGGGCUGGAGUCCGGAAGAGGCGAGUGGAAUUCCUGGUGUAGCGGUGGAAUGCGCAGAUAUCAGGAGGAACACCAAUAGCGAAGGCAGCUCGCUGGGACGGUACUGACGCUGAGGCGCGAAAGCGUGGGGAGCAAACAGG
rnacentral:rRNA from 1 species